AUAAUUACGCUUUAGCAGCUUAGUCUGCUAACGUCCUACAUGAGAGUCCCACGACUUGGGAUAGGGCGUCAAUUAGUGGGGAACCGAGUCUAGGAAAGCUUUGACCUAGAAACGGAAUUUAUGAAGCUACUAAAGGUGGAAUCCUGUCAGUGGGAGUCUGCUAGAGGGAAUGUUAAAAUACUGACUGCACUCGGAGAUGCUUAGGUAUUGCGAUUUUCGGACAGGGGUUCGACACCCCUCGCCUCCAUCA
rnacentral:tmRNA from 1 species